UACGGAGGGUGCAAGCGUUAUCCGGAUUUACUGGGUUUAAAGGGUGCGUAGGUGGAUAAGUAAGUCAGUGGUGAAAUCUUCGGGCUUAACCCGGAAACUGCCAUUGAUACUAUUUGUCUUGAAUACUUUGGAGGUAAGCGGAAUAUGUCAUGUAGCGGUGAAAUGCGUAGAUAUCAGGAGGAACACCGAUGGCGAAGGCAGGUCUCUGGGCUGACACUGACGCUCAUGCACGAAAGCGUGGGGAGCAAACAGG
rnacentral:rRNA from 1 species